rnacentral:misc_RNA from 1 species
GAUGAAGAACGUAGCAAAAUGCGAUAAGUAAUGUGAAUUGCAGAAUUCAGUGAAUCAUCGAAUCUUUGAACGCACAUUGCGCCCGCCAGUAUUCUGGCGGGCAUGCCUGUUCGAGCGUCAUUUCGACCCUCAAGCACAGCUUGGUGUUGGGACUCGCGUUAAUUCGCGUUCCUCAAAUUGAUUGGCGGUCACGUCGAGCUUCCAUAGCGUAGUAGUAAAACCCUCGUUACUGGUAAUCGUCGCGGCCACGCCGUUAAACCCCAACUUCUGAAUGUUGACCUCGGAUCAGGUAGGAAUACCCGCUGAACUUAAGCAUAUCAAUAAGCGGAGGA